UCCAUGCUCUGCCCCUUUAAUUUAUUUUAAAGGAGAAAUUAAUUUUGUCUUUGCCUAAGUACCCGUCACUUUAAAUUAAUGUCUCAGAUAGCAAAAAUGACAAAGCAGCCAGGUUAUUAGGCAAAUUUUAAUUAGAGGCUCAGAUGGCCUUUGCUAAUAAGAUGCUGCAGUUUGUUCCUGGCCUUCUCACUUUCCAUCCACAGGGUCUUUCCGAGCCCACCCAAGGGUGCGUUUUGUAUCACCCCUCAGCACCCGUGUGCUCCUGUGCAUGAGCAUCGAGUUAGAGCUUGGGGUGGAUGCAAGGGAUACAGGAGACCCCGUUUCCCCGUGGGGACACGCAUUGCAUUGGCUCUGCUGUACCAGGAGCUGGUGUUUACAUAGCUUAGGUGAUGUCAAGACGUGGCAGUAUGUCCUUUAGUACCACAGGAAAGGUUUUCACACCCCGGCGGCCCCCAGGGAGUGAAAACCUCAACGAUGGACCCAUUUUGUUUAUUACUUUAAUGAGCCCACAUGCUGCAUGCUACCUCAGGAGCCUUUGCCAAGAGCAGAGAAAAGUUUGUAAGGCAAAUGUGUUAUGAAAUCUUAUUUAUUAAUACUUUUAUGCAGAGAGUAGAGCUUCUCUCCCAUAUGUAUUCCUUUCCCCUAUCCACUUUCAGUUGUUAAAAGGAGUAAGAAAUUACCUAAUGAACUGUCGCCCCCUCAUUUUCUCUGUCCGAAGAGAUGUGGGCUGGAUCUAGAGAGAACAUCCCAUGGCUGGCUGUAAAUCCAGCUUCCAGCCCAGCAUAAUAAAAGGCUCAAUCCAUUCCUGGGUGAGCCAGGCUGGAGUCCUGCUUCUUUGUGGCACAGCCAGGGAGGAGAAAUACAGCCAGCAAGCCCUCCCCAGGCCAGCACAUGGCCCUGGCCAUGGAGAGGAGGAAAACAGGAGGGAGGAGAAGAGGAACAGGCUCUUUUCUUCCAUUCUUUGCUGGUGAUGGGAUCACAUCUCCUCUCCCGGUGUGACCAAGCCUUUGUGCCCUGCAGGUACACAUGUUUUUGUGCUGGGUAAUUUCACAAGUGAGAUCCAUCCAUUAAGCUGCCGGUUCCAGUCACUCCACCCAGUGCAAAAUCACUGACAAAUGGGGCUCUGACCUACUUAUUUUUUUUUGCUGUCAGUGCAAUGCAGCUGGAGCAAGGCAGGGAUGCAGAAGGUGACUAUGGUGAGGCUGUGCCCUGAUCCUGCUUCCUCGGGGCUGGGGGCAGAAGAAGAGGGGGCGACCAGAUUCUUCCUCACUGCAGCUGAUCUCAUGCUGCCUGCAGAGCUACAGCAGCUGCUCUACAAUUUCUUCACCUCCACCAAAAAGCUGCAAGGAAGGAACCUGCUCCAGAAAGGGAUCUGAUGCAGGACAAAAGUGAGAAGAAUAAUCUGCUUUGUGGGAGAACUUGCUGUUUUCAAGCUAGAGGUGAAUAACUUCCUGUAGCUGGGUGAGCAUCCCUUUCAGCUGCACAUCCUGAGUUGCUGUACUGGGCACUCCAGUGCCAGCAGGGCUGGAGCGACCUGUCCCUUCCCAGUCCGUGGUCCAAGCUCAGGGACACAGGUUUGUGACCACACAUGCCUCAAUCAUAGCAACUUCGUUAUUCCCAGCAUUUGACCAUCCCCAUGGAUUCACACGCUCCUUGGAAAGCCUCAGCAGGAACAGUUUUAUUGACAGGAGAGGCAGUUUUCUCAAACUUCCCACAAGAAAGUGGUGUUUUCAAAUAGAUGUUGGUUGGGAGGGCAAAGGGAAGGGAAGAAUGUCAUGGAGCAUUUUGGAGAAGUGAAAACAUCCUUGUUUCUACACAGUUGGAAAGGAAAGCUUCAAUUUUUCACCUCCAACUGAUUUUCAUGCUGACAUUUCUUUUAUUCCAUGUGAUCAAGCAGCUCUAAAUAUUACUCACUGCAAGAAGGAAACAUCUCAAGCGGCAUCUCCCCACCUUUCCUACCUUUCCUCCCUUUAGGCAUUUGGAAAUAAUGGGAUUUCUCUCAGGUACUAGAAAUUUCACUGCCUCCUUGCCUGUGGCACAGACUGAGGGCACUUUAAGCCUUCCUUGCACCCUGAAAAUUCACAAAACCUGAUCCUGCUCCUCUUUCCCGGGUGAGCUCUGCCCCUAUGGAAGUGCCAGCGUGCGUGGCUGUUUGUGGACACUGGACAUCUGGAGACUCGGUAACUGUGACCAGCAAACAGGGGAAAGAAGAUGAUUUAGGAAGAAGAUUAUUCAAAAGAAGUAGUGGCCCUUUUUUCCCCCCUUUCUCCUCAUCUUGUACAAAUUACCCUAUUAUUCUGCUCCCUUAGGAUGCCUGAGUGUCCUUAUUUCUUCUUUUGAGCUAAAGUCAUCCAUGCAUUAAAUUAGUUCUCUGCCUAGAAAUAGCUUGAUUACUUUCUCCAAGCUGCAGUUAAUGUGAGUUUCCCUGAGAGUUUCAAAAUAAAAAUGGGGCAAAAAGAGAAGCAGGGAGUGAAAUGGAGGAUCAGGGGCACCAUGCGGCCUUCUUGAGCUGGUAGAUCAGUUUGCCUCGAGCGUGAGCUCUGCAAGGUGCUGUACUGGGGGAGAGGGGACAGCGGCUGUCACCUGCCCGCUGUGACUGGAGGGGUCAGUCCCCAUCCCCUGGGAGCAGUCACCUCUCACCAGGGCACUUUGAACAUUUCUGCUAGGUUGGGGGGAUUUGUUUUUUUCCCUUAAUUCCCCUGACUGUCAGGCAGGUGUCUGCUCCCAGCUGUUUGCAGGAGCCCCAAGAGCUGUUGCCUAAACAUCAGCUGCUAAUUUAGGGCCAAUUAUCCCUCCUUUCCCACUGUGUUUUGCUGUAUCCUUUACAGACCUACAUCUACAGACAUGGGCCUUCAUUCCUUUUUUCUUCUUCCCAGUCACUUGUCUUCCCACAGGCUCCUCCAAAACCCCCUUCACUGCUUUUACCGAAGUAAUUAGAGGAGCAUCAGCAAAUCCACAACAAAGGCGUGUGGCUGCUGUUCUCUCCCAUCACCUGCAUCACACCCUGUUGAUCCUCCUCCUCCUCUCUGGGAGCAGACCAGUUCUCCCAGUACCUGGGGAGUCACUGGAGGGAUCCUGGUGUGUGAUUCUCCCAUGUACAGCCGCUAAAGGAAUAAUUUGCAAUUACCCAGAGCCCAGGCUGCCUGCCCAGCCCGGCCGACAUCCAAGCAAUCAAUUCCCAUUCAGGCAGUGGCCUCCCUUCCUGCUCUCGCAAACAAUGACAAAUGGAGCACCGCAUCGACUUGGAUGGAGCAGCGAGCGGCGGCAGGAGGAAUAAUUACCCAUUUGCCAGAUGAGAUAGGACGUGCGGUUUUCCUGGGAGCUCGGCAGCUCAUGGUGGGUCAGCAGAGAGGUGGGGAGAGGGUCCUGCUACAGAGCAGAUCCUGAGGGAGAUGGUGGUCACCAAGGCUGGCAUGUCCCCAGUGUGGCCAGGGAAAGGCUCCCCAGCCAGCGAUGUGGACAAAUUGUGGCUUUGCUACCUCUUCAGCUUCCAGGACAGCAGUUGGAGCGUGUCUCUCCUGGAGUUAAAAUUUGCUUCCUGGCUCACUUUGACCAAAGCACAGAAGAUCUCCCUGCCAUGGACAAGGAAGAGAUGGGAGGAUGCGCUCUCCAAACUGGGGUAUGUUGGCACAGAAAAUGUCCCUGAGCUGGUCUCGGCCCCUUUUCCAAUUGCAGAAAGAGAUAAACUGCUUCAGGAAAAUCCCAUCCACACUGAGAGACGGAACGAUGCCUGUGUGUCGCUACAGCUUUCAUUUUUUCUUCCUUUAAUUAAAAAGGUCUCCCUCCAAAGUUAUUAGUUACUAAUGACACAAUUAGAACCAGUAAAGAGGGAUAGGAAGAAUAAGACGAAAAAGAAUUUUUUUUAAAAAAAAAAAGGCAAACCAAAGCCCAAAAAACCCUCUGGGAAUCUGAGCCAUUCAAAGCUUGAGAGAAAUUAAGGAAAUAAUUGCUUAAUUUAAACUUUAUUCUCGUUCCUGCUGGGCUAAGAGAGGAUGGGCAACACCUGGAUGGAAACCACCUUUCCAGUGCUCCUCCCUUCCACCUGAAGAAGGAGAUAAAUCUCUCAAUCUCAUUUAAUCUGCUUGGGGGGCAGACCUGGAGGCAGCAUUUCCCCUUGGGUUCCUUUUCUGCAGUUUGCCAGCUUUCCAUGCAGGAAAACCUGGAUUUAGCACCAUAAUCACCGUAGUCACGUUUUCCGUGUCUGCGUUGCCAACGCUGGCAUCUCUCCCGGCAUCACCCCUGCUUCUCUCUAUCCAGCUGUCCCAUCUCCAGGGACAAGAAAUCAAAUCUCUUCUAUCCUGUCCAGUUCUGCUGGGGACCAACGAUGGAGCAGAGCUGAGGACAUGCAGGAACAACUCUCAGUAUCCAAAUUUAAAGCUUCUUGGCUUUGAAAGGCCGGCUUAAAUUGCUUGAAGACUUUCUCUGAAAAAAUAGAUGAAGGGUGUGGGAAGAGGGAAGCCCAGCAGAGCUGCUGGCUGCCUGCUGAGUGCUUAUUAUUUCUGUCAGCUGAGUGUUUUAACUCAGUAAUCUCGGAUUGAAAUGGGUUUCUGGAGGGGAGGGAGGCGGCUGCUCCCACGGGAGCCUGGAUUAGGUGAAGAGUGAGGCUGCAAACAUGUUCCCCCGGCCUUGCUCCAGGUUGCAGCAGUUUUAGGGCACAGCCAAGCCCUUUGCUCUGUGCAACACGACCCUCAGCAAACCUCAAAAACUUGGUCAGCAUUUGUCGUGGGGGUCGCGGUGAAGUACCCGGUGCCCACCCAAAGGUCAGCUGGACUUCUGCUGGGAGAGUCGCACAACCCUAAUUCUCACCGAUUUUCUUCUGGGUUUAUAAGGGAUGUGCAAAAAAGCAGGGAAAGACAAAAAUAUAGGAAGGAAAAAACAUGUUCUUAUUGACUGCUGAGUCCCUUCGGAGGCCAUGGCAAGUGGGGGUGAGGAGGGAGAAAAGCAACUGAUACAUUGUUUUGUCUUCGAGCAAUUAUGUGAAAAUGAGUUAAUCACAGGGUCACAGAAGACAUAACUGUUAAUUAAUCCCCAGCAUGAGCCAAAAAGAUGAAUUUCCUGCAGCAAACAAAUGUAAGAGUGUGGCAAGGAGUCAAGCUCCCCCUGGAUUAUUGGGCUAGCCAGUUUGCACCCCUGGACCACACACCAGCCACCAGCAUCCUUCCCAAGCCCCAGCCCUGGGGGGUGAAAGCUUUCCUUCCAAAUCGCUGUCCAUGGAUAGAGGAGCAGAGGAAUUACCACAAAUACAGAUGUUCGGUCACUCCCGCAAGUGGGAGAAGGCAAAGGCACAACCAUCUGCUCCCUCCUGGUGCUGCGUGUCCCCAGGAGCAGGGGGAGGAAACUCAGCAGGCGUUGAUUUGUAGUACCGGAGGGUGUCCUAGUAUAGCUGGAUUAAUAUAAACCGAUGAAACCUUUGGAUCAUCUCAGCAGCCUCCGGAUGGGAUAAAGCCGUGAAGGUGUCACCUGCUGCCGGUGGGUCUCUGCCCUCCCAUGGACCCCGUGGGGUGCACAGACUGCAGGCUCUGCUCCCACUGCUGUAACGGGAGGGUGAAAGGGCGUGGAGGGAGGGAUGGGAGGAUCUGUGUCAUCUAUUUAAUACCUAUUUUCACAUUAUUGCCCUUUUAAUAACUAUCUGCUCUUGUUCUUUAAACCUUAUUCGAAAGAUCCUGUUAAAUCCCACAUGCAGACAAAUCCAGCACAUCUCCUAGUGAAACGGCUCCAAAGCCAGCCCAGGACAAGUGAAACUUUGCUGCAAAUCCAGGCAUCUCAUUGAAAACUGGCCUUUUUUUCUUUUUUUGGGGGGUACUUUUCCUUAUUUCACAUGAAGCAUUUAGUCACUGGCCCUUUUGGAAAGGGCAGGAAACCCUCUGAAAGUUCAUGUUGUAGCAGACUCUAAAUUCAAACUGCACCAGUUCAAUAAAAAUUAUUACUUGCUUUAGGCUGUGCAAGUUGGCUGCAUGCACACGAUUAAAUUAGUUUAAACCCAGCCUCUAUUUAUUUAGCUAAAUGGAACAGGAAUAAUGCUAAAACCAAACGGAAAUCAUCCCAAUUCCUCCUGGGCUGUCAGAGAUUGUUCAGGGCAGGCGUGAAACUCUCCUCGCUAUGUCUCAUCACUUCUCUGCUUUGCAUCUCUUUAUUAAGCCCCUGCACUCCCUGGCGCUGUGUUCUGCUCAUCCCAAGAGAGAAGAACCCUGGUGGCAUCUCGCAGGUCCAUGUGACAUCUGAGUGCUGCCCGAGGAGCUGCUGCAGCCCGGGCUGGAUCGCCAGGACAAGCCGACUCCCUGCUCCUAAUGACCGGUCUCUUCACAGCCAUUCUAACCUUUGACAAGAGCACUUCAGGAGCCUCAUUAGCUGCUGGGAAGUUGUACGGUGGCCAUCACGUGCAGCCUGGCAUUGCUGAGGGACGGCGACGUGCAGCCACCGCGGCAGCAGCAUCCAGGGACCGCUCUCUCUGUGGAUGCUCGUCUGCAAUCUUGGCGCCUCAGGGCACUACCAAAAACUCCUCUCAGCAGAAGCCCGGGACGAGUCACCUGUUCUUGAGUUGCAGGAAAAGCUCUGGACCAAACCCAGCCCUGAAUUUUUCAUUGAACUGGAAGCACAUGCUUUUUAUCCGGUGGUGGAUGCAGGAGUUGGGCACAGGCUGAGGGCAGGACCCUGGGGGCAGCUGAGACAACACAGCCUUGGUCAGGCUGUGCCUGGGGAGCAGCCCAUGAGCUGGAGCAUCCUGCAAAGUACCAGCGCACCCAAAGGGGAAGGAGGGAACCGACGUAUGCUUACCUGUCCAGGAGAACACCUCGUACAGGCUGCUCAGCCCCUGGGGAGGGACUGACGAAGCAACUGCAAACAAAACUCUUUUCCUGAGCACUUGGAGGCUUUGCUUUUUCCAGCCCAUCCUUGUUGUCUGGGUUGCAAGGCUGAAGAUGAGCGAGUGGAGAAGGGAGAUGGUUGGGAUGCAGGUGCUGAGCUCUGCUCUGCUGCCUCAGGAUCCAGCCCCAAACCCAGUGUGCAGCUAUCCUAAAUCCUAGAAACCAUUUCAGUGAAAAAAACAGACAUCUCUCUUCCUUUCAGAGUGCUUCACAGCUUGCAGAAGUUUGUGCCGCUUCCCCCAACAUGGAAAAGCGUGCCUGCAAACACAAGCCCUCGCUUCCUCCAGCAUAAACCUCCCUCUCUUGGGAAAGGAAAGCAAUGAAAUUAAAUCAUCAUCCUCCACAAAACACCAGAACACCAAAACCAGCCAAGACCCAGCUCAAAAAUAGAUGAUUGAAGCGCAAGGUGGUUUGAUAUCGCAGUGUGUGUGGCUACGUGGGGGAAGGCACAGCACGGCAGUUUUGUGCUCAUGUGCCCUUGGUAAGCAAAGAAGAGCAUUGGGCUCACUGUAAACUCAUGAUAAGGGAAACCACUCUUUGCUGUAACGUACCUAGAGACUGGAAAUCCAGAAAUACUGGAAAUUAGGCUACCAAGGUCUCGUUUGUGCAGCUGCUCUGUGCAGAGGCCUUGCAGACCAAGCUCUGUGCCUCUGAGCAGAUGUUGCUCAUCCCACUACGCCAGCACUCACCUGCUUUCACAGAUGUUCCUGCUUAAUGAGCAGCUAGUUCGUAUUUUUUCCCCAUGUGCUGUGGGUCAUCUCAGGUCUGAGUGAUUCGAAAAUAUGCACAGACCGUGUAGCCCAACACAAAUGAAAGGAUUUUGCUGUGCUAUGUGGCGCUGGGAACCUUUGGACCAGUGAUUGACUGGAGGUGGGUUUUGGGACCCUUUCAAAGUCCCUUUUAAACUUUGGAUGAAGCAACAGGGUUGAUAUAUGGAAUAUCCCUCAUUUUUUCCUCCAGCAAAUUCCAUCUCAGGGCUCUGGAUGCUGCAGCCACAGGAUUCACCCGCUGUGGUGGAGGAUCUGCAGAGGUGGUGGUCUGAGAGCCCCCAAACUCGUUGCACGCAGGAUGAUUUGAUGCCAACAACUGGUCUUUUUCAGAUGAGGGACUUCAGAAGCGAACAAGCAUCCUAACUCUGACAUCUCCACUGAGCCGUAUUAUUAGUUUUGGCGAUUAAAUAGAAACCCGUUUGCAGGUGACAAUGCUGUAAAAAUAAGUAGGUACCAGAGUCUACAUCGUGAAAAUCAGGCAGGAGAACAGAGCUCAGGCAGCAUACAUAAUCCGUGGGGAAAUAAGUGUGUGAAUAAUGAAUGAGCACUGGAAAAAAUAAAAUACAUUAUUGUGGUAAAGAUAAGUCUAUUAAAGUCUUGCUGCAGAGCC